UUCGCAAUGCCCGAAAGGGUGACGAUGCGACGCCGCGUGGAGGAUGAAGGCCUUCGGGUUGUAAACUCCUGUCAGGGCAAAAGAAAGGGAGGGGAGGAAACUCCCUGACCUUGACUCAGCCCAAAGGAAGCCCCGGCUAACUCCGUGCCAGCAGCAGCGGUAAAACGGAGAGGGCGAGCGUUAUUCGGAUUUAUUGGGCGUAAAGGGUUCGUAGGCGGUCAGAUAAGUCAGGGGUGGAAUCUAGCGGCUCAACCGUCAAAUUGCCCUUGAAACUGUCUGACUUGAGUACGGGAAAGGAAAGCGGAAUUCUCGGUGUAGCGGUGAAAUGCGUGGAUAUCGAGAGGAACACCAGUGGCGAAAGCGGCUUUCUGGCCCGAUACUGACGCUGAGGAACGAAAGCCAGGGGAGCGAACGGGAUUAGAUACCCCGGUAGUCCUAGCCCUAAACGAUGGGCACUAAGUAGAGGGGUUUU
rnacentral:rRNA from 1 species